rnacentral:rRNA from 1 species
AGUGAACGCUGGCGGUAGGCCUAACACAUGCAAGUCGAACGGCAGCACAGUAAGAGCUUGCUCUUACGGGUGGCGAGUGGCGGACGGGUGAGGAAUACAUCGGAAUCUACUUUUUCGUGGAGGAUAACGUAGGGAAACUUACGCUAAUACCGCAUACGACCUACGGGUGAAAGCAGGGGAUCUUCGGACCUUGCGCGAUUGAAUGAGCCGAUGUCGGAUUAGCUAGUUGGCGGGGUAAGGGCCCACCAAGGCGACGAUCCGUAGCUGGUCUGAGAGGAUGAUCAGCCACACUGGAACUGAGACACGGUCCAGACUCCUACGGGAGGCAGCAGUGGGGAAUAUUGGACAAUGGGCGCAAGCCUGAUCCAGCCAUACCGCGUGGGUGAAGAAGGCCUUCGGGUUGUAAAGCCCUUUUGUUGGGAAAGAAAAGCAGCAGGUUAAUACCCCGCUGUUCUGACGGUACCCAAAGAAUAAGCACCGGCUAACUUCGUG